AAGGGGAAAAACAUAGAGACAUUUGGACCGUUUAUUAACGGACAUAAUAUAAAAGUCCAAAACCUUCUUUAUAACGUACAUCGAAAUAUAUAAAAAUAAAGAGGAACUAUUUAUUAUAUAGUUUUGCUACAAAAUUCGACGACGAUUCCUCAUUUAUCUCUGUCUCUCUCUCUUUCUCUCUUACUUGGGCCUACGUGCUGUCUCCUUAGGCC